rnacentral:rRNA from 1 species
GACGAACGCUGGCGGCGUGCCUAAUACAUGCAAGUCGAGCGAAGUUUUUCUGGUGCUUGCACUAGAAAAACUUAGCGGCGAACGGGUGAGUAACACGUAAAGAACCUGCCUCAUAGACUGGGACAACUAUUGGAAACGAUAGCUAAUACCGGAUAACAGUAUUUCUCGCAUGAGAGAUAUUUAAAAGUUGGUUAUGCUAACACUAUGAGAUGGCUUUGCGGUGCAUUAGCUAGUUGGUGGGGUAAAGGCCACCAAGGCGACGAUGCAUAGCCGACCUGAGAGGGUGAUCGGCCACACUGGGACUGAGACACGGCCCAGACUCCUACGGGAGGCAGCAGUAGGGAAUCUUCCGCAAUGGGCGAAAGCCUGACGGAGCAACGCCGCGUGAGUGAAGAAGGAUUUCGGUUCGUAAAGCUCUGUUGUUAGGGAAGAAUGGAUAUGUAGUAACUAUACAUGUAAGAGACGGUACCUAACCAGAAAGCCACGGCUAACUACGUG